rnacentral:rRNA from 1 species
UACGUAGGGGGCAAGCGUUGUCCGGAUUUAUUGGGUUUAAAGGGUGCGUAGGCGGCCCUGUAAGUCAGUGCUGAAAUAUCCCGGCUUAACCGGGAGGGUGGCAUUGAUACUGCGGGGCUAGAGUACAGAUGAGGUAGGCGGAAUUGACGGUGUAGCGGUGAAAUGCUUAGAUAUCGUCAAGAACACCGAUAGUGUAGACAGCUUACUAGACUUCAACUGACGCUGAGGCACGAAAGUGUGGGGAUCAAACAGG